rnacentral:rRNA from 1 species
AACGAACGCUGGCGGCAUGCCUAACACAUGCAAGUCGAACGAAACGUCCGGGUCUAGUGGCGCACGGCUGCGUAACGCGUGGGAACCUGCCCUUAGGUACGGAAUACCUCCCCGAAAGGGAUGCUAAUACCGGAUAAGGUCUUCGGACCAAAGAUUUAUUGCGUUUGGAUGGGCCCUCGUUGGAUUAGCUAGUUGGGAGGGUAAAAGCAUAUCAAGGCGUGGAUGCAUAGCUGGUAUGAGAGGAUGAUCAGCCACACCUGGAGUGGGACACGGCCGGGAAGCCUACGGAAGGGGGGAGAGGGGGAUAUAGGAAAACGGGGCGAGGUCUGAUGCCGCCAUGACCGGGAAGUGAUGUUGGGCGUAGGGAACUAAUGUGCUUUUACCCGGGAUGAUAAUGACGGUACCGGGUGAAUAAGCUCCGGCUAACUACGUG